rnacentral:lncRNA from 1 species
ACAUUAAAAGCGGUGACUGCUGGUUAAGAACCGAGUACCUGUUGUGUGUCCUUGUUGAAAGUUCACUAUGCUGCAACCCACGUUAAUACAACACAGAACAAUUCAGCAACACAUAAAGUUACAACAUGGUGUCAGAAGUUCGAUCUCUCAUGUGAACGAAGACUACAGCCGGGCGACGCAAGUAAGCUAGCUGAAGAUUAGCACAUGGCGAAAGCUGCCGACAACAUGGAGCAAUUCAAGUCACCAUCGCCGCUGCUGCUCUCCGGCAAUUAGUCUGAGACCUGGCGCAGAUGGGAACAAAGAUUCCAGCUGUACAUGACCGCAUCAGUGUCCAGUCAUGCAGAUAAGUCGAUCCUUGGAGGACAAGCACGUGAAGAGCUGCAGCUGGUGAAGCGAGUUGGGACAAUAGCAACAACAAAGUCGCCACAGCUGACCAAACCAUCAGCUACUAAAGAAGAGCUCAUAGAGGAGUACGCAGAGGUCUUCACGGGUUUGGGUGAGUUUCCUGGAGUUCACCACUUACACAUAAACCCAAACGUCACACCUGUGAUUCAUGCGUGCAGUAACCUGCCACUUUGCAUAAUGGAGCUGCUAAAAAAGACACUGAAAGAUUUACAAGACAGAAACGUGAUAAUGCCAGUCAACGAGCCCACAGAUUGGGUUAAUAAUCUUGUUGCGACGCAGAAAAAGAACGGAACACUAAGGGUGUGUUUGGACCCUUGUGUACGGUGGCCGGGAAGUGCAAAACAAUAAUACAUUUCGACCGAAACACAUUAAACACAUUUACAUUUCG